UUAGGUUGCCUUUCUUUAAUCUCAUCUGAGCUCAGCAACUAAAUAUGAUCAGGCCUGUUGAGAACUUAUAUGGGAGACCAUCUGGGAAUUACAAGGGGCUGUAAGAG
rnacentral:rRNA from 1 species